rnacentral:rRNA from 1 species
AUCGACCUGCAAAGGUGAGUUUGAAAGCAGGCGCAGAAACUGAUUUUCAGUUUCGAUCUUCUUCGGCAUCAGGUUAAGGAUAAGCACCUUUAGCGGACGAAUUUCCUGACCACGCUUCAGUUCGGCGAUAUCCAGCGAUACCGGUGCACCUUCAAGUAAUUCAUUCACGCUAUCUUUCAACAGUCGCCACGCGCUACGCAGAACCAGAAGCGACACCAGUAUUGAGAGAAUGGGGUCAGCAGGUGUCCAGCCGGUCCAGAUAAUAAUCAACGCGGCAGGGGGGACGGAGAAGGCUAUGUUGGCCGGGCGACGGUUGUCCCGGUUUAAGCGUGUAGGCUGGUUUUCCAGGCAAAUCCGGAAAAUCAAGGCUGAGGCGUGAUGACGAGGCACUACGGUGCUGAAGCAACAAAUGCCCUGCUUCCAGGAAAAGCCUCUAAGCAUCAGGUAACAUCAAAUCGUACCCCAAACCGACACAGGUGGUCAGGUAGAGAAUACCAAGGCGCUUGAGAGAACUCGGGUGAAGGAACUAGGCAAAAUGGUGCCGUAACUUCGGGAGAAGGCACGCUGAUAUGUAGGUGAAGCGACUUGCUCGUGGAGCUGAAAUCAGUCGAAGAUACCAGCUGGCUGCAACUGUUUAUUAAAAACACAGCACUGUGCAAACACGAAAGUGGACGUAUACGGUGUGACGCCUGCCCGGUGCCGGAAGGUUAAUUGAUGGGGUUAGCGGUAACGCGAAGCUCUUGAUCGAAGCCCCGGUAAACGGCGGCCGUAACUAUAACGGUCCUAAGGUAGCGAAAUUCCUUGUCGGGUAAGUUCCGACCUGCACGAAUGGCGUAAUGAUGGCCAGGCUGUCUCCAUCCGAGACUCAGUGAAAUUGAACUCGCUGUGAAGAUGCAGUGUACCCGCGGCAAGACGGAAAGACCCCGUGAACCUUUACUAUAGCUUGACACUGAACAUUGAGCCUUGAUGUGUAGGAUAGGUGGGAGGCUUUGAAGUGUGGACGCCAGUCUGCAUGGAGCCGACCUUGAAAUACCACCCUUUAAUGUUUGAUGUUCUAACGUUGGCCCCUGAUCGGGGUUGCGGACAGUGUCUGGUCCCUUUAACGGCGCGUUAAUCACGGCGUUGCUGGAAGAAAAAUCAUUGCCAGAGGCGAUUCGUUUUGCCCA